UACGUAGGGGGCAAGCGUUGUCCGGAAUCAUUGGGCUUAAAGCGCGCGUAGGCGGCCCGUUAAGUCCGUUGUGAAAGUCAAAGGCUCAACCUUUGAACGCCGAUGGAUACUGCCGGGCUAGAGUCCGGAAGAGGCGAGUGGAAUUCCUGGUGUAGCGGUGGAAUGCGCAGAUAUCAGGAGGAACACCAGUGGCGAAGGCGGCUCUCUGGACAGGUUCUGACGCUCAGGCGCGAAAGCGUGGGGAGCGAUACGG
rnacentral:rRNA from 1 species